GUGGUUGUGGCUCAGUGGUAGAGCGCUUGCCUAGCAUGUGUGAGGCACUGGGUUCCAUCCUCAGCACCACA
rnacentral:tRNA from 1 species